rnacentral:rRNA from 1 species
GACGAUCAGUAGCCGGUCUGAGAGGAUGAACGGCCACAUUGGAACUGAGACACGGUCCAGACUCCUACGGGAGGCAGCAGUGGGGAAUCUUCCGCAAUGGGCGCAAGCCUGACGGAGCAACGCCGCGUGAGUGAAGAAGGGUUUCGACUCGUAAAGCUCUGUUGUCGGGGACGCGGUACCUGACGAGGAAGCCACGGCUAACUACGUGCCAGCAGCCGCGGUAAUACGUAGGUGGCGAGCGUUGUCCGGAAUUAUUGGGCGUAAAGGGAGCGCAGGCGGGAGAUCAAGUCUAUCUUAAAAGUGCGGGGCUCAACCCCGUGAGGGGAUGGAAACUGGUCUUCUUGAGUGCAGGAGAGGAAAGCGGAAUUCCUAGUGUAGCGGUGAAAUGCGUAGAUAUUAGGAGGAACACCAGUGGCGAAGGCGGCUUUCUGGACUGUAACUGACGCUGAGGCUCGAAAGCGUGGGGAGCGAACAGGAUUAGAUACCCUGGUAGUCCACGCCGUAAACGAUGAAUGCUAGGUGUAGGACUGUGCCGGAGUUAACGCAA